UUUGGAGGGCAAGUCUGGUGCCAGCAGCCGCGGUAAUUCCAGCUCCAAUAGCGUAUAUUAAAGUUGUUGCAGUUAAAAAGCUCGUAGUUGAAUUUCGGGAUCAAUAUUUCGGUCAUGCCGUUGGUAUGCACUGUUAUCAUUGAUUUCUCACCUUCUAAAGAACCGUGAUGCCAUUAAUUUGGUGU
rnacentral:rRNA from 1 species